GGAGUAGACCCGAAACCGGGCGAUCUAGCCAUGUGCAGGAUGAAGGUUGGGUAACACCAACUGGAGGUCCGAACCGGGUAAUGUUGAAAAAUUAUCGGAUGACGUGUGGCUAGGAGUGAAAGGCUAAUCAAGCCCGGAGAUAGCUGGUUCUCCCCGAAAGCUAUUUAGGUAGCGCCUCGUGAAUGAUUACUGGGGGUAGAGCACUGUUUCGGCUAGGGGGCUGUCAUGGCUUACCAAACCGAUGCAAACUCCGAAUACCGGCUAAUUGAAUCACGGGAGACACACGGCGGGUGCUAACGUCCGUCGUGGAGAGGGAAACAACCCAGACCGCCAGCUAAGGUCCCCAAGUACUAGUUAAGUGGGAAACGAUGUGGGAAGGCAUAGACAGCCAGGAGGUUGGCUUAGAAGCAGCCACCCUUUAAAGAAAGCGUAAUAGCUCACUGGUCGAGUCGGCCUGCGCGGAAGAUGUAACGGGGCUAAAACUAGUCACCGAAGCUGCGGAUGUGCGCGAAAGCGCACGUGGUAGGGGAGCGUUCUGUAGGCUGAUGAAGGUGCAUUGAGAAGUGUGCUGGAGGUAUCAGAAGUGCGAAUGCUGACAUGAGUAACGAUAAUGUGGGUGAAAAGCCCACACGCCGGAAGUCCCAGGUUUCCUGCACGACGUUAAUCGGAGCAGGGUGAGUCGGCCCCUAAGGCGAGGCUGAAGAGCGUAGUCGAUGGGAACCAGGUUAAUAUUCCUGGACUUUUUAUAAGUGGUGAAGUGGGGACGAAGAAGGCUAGGUGAGCCAGGCGUUGGUUGUCCUGGUACUUGCAUGUAGGGGGGAAGACUUGGCAAAUCCGGUUUUCCAUAACUCUGAGGUGCGAAGUGGUUCUGACCUUUUGGUACAGAGAAGUCAUUGAUGCCCGGCUUCCAGGAAAAGCUGCUAGCCAUAACUUAUAGAGAACCGUACCGCAAACCGACACAGGUGGACAGGUAGAGAAUACUAAGGCGCUUGAGAGAACUCGGGUGAAGGAACUAGGCAAAAUGGUACCGUAACUUCGGGAGAAGGUACGCCCUU
rnacentral:rRNA from 1 species